UAAAGUUGUUGACAACUUGUCGUCAAGUUGGUCAGAAACUAAUGAAUGACCAACUAUUUCACGAUCAACUCGUGCUAUCAGGGUGACUAAAUACAAAUCUAUCUCAAACAUCCACUAGAAAUAAAUACAGUCAUUAUUAACAUCAUUUGACUCUUAACUAUACCGGGAAUAAUAUUCAAUCGAAAUACUUUUCGACUCGAAAGAACUGGUUGUUAAGACAAAAUGAUGGCACCCGUGAUAUGUAAUGCUUUGUUCACAAAUCACCAGACAUUUAUUUGGUGAUUUCACACAUCCACACAUCACCAAUGUCUCCCAGAUUUUCCGGCUGUGAUACCACUCAGAAAAUAAAAAGAAUAAUUAAAUCUGUCAUCUCUACCAAAUCGCUGUUUAGUCAAGAAGCUACUGAAUGUAGAGAAUUGAUACUACCUACUUCUGCAAUUUUGGUAAGAGAUUCGAAUUCCGGAUUGCUGAAAGUAGCGUCAAAGUCAGAUAUUGAAUCAAAUGUACUUGUCUAUAUGCAAUCGGGUGAAAAUGUCGUUGGAGUUGAAAUGCUUCGAUAUGCAGAAAGUAACAAAGCUUUACUAAGUCUUUAAAGAUCUUCUUGUAAAAAACGAAUUCGAGUAGUGAAAAAGUAAGUCUAACACCUUAUCAGAUAAAGCCUCGAAACAAAACCAUUGCUAUUAAUACAAAAAAAAAAAUUGCCUGCUAAAAAAAUUAAAAGACUACAAAAUUUGCCAAGACAACAGAAAAAACGUUCCAAGAGAAAUCAAUGGCAUCAAGUGAUUGUAAUAUUGUUGAAAUAUUUAAUGCCAUCAAAGAGAAUAAUGAUAUUUUGAGUAAUCAACGUACAGAAGUAAGUAUCAUUAUAAGAUACACAACUCUGACUUUUCAGCUUUCCAGUGAUCGUUAAUAAAAGUUUCAUUUGCUGAGAAUUAUUAAAUUUAUACUACUUUGAAGGAGAAUUUUUCAAAUUCAUCCACAGAAGUAGCUGCGAAAUACUUCGAUAAUUAAUUUAUUGAAUUUAUUGAUUACUAGGCUAGCCAAAAAAAUAAUUUUUACGAUUACAGUAAGUAUAAAAAAAGACUAAAUUUUCUAAUAUUUAGAACUUUUUGAAUGCGUUGUCAUUAUUAUGAAAGACGUCAAAUUUGGAAAACAAGAUCAAAAAUUGAUCUGGAAUCCAUACGGAUUAAUCAAACAAAAAUGACCCUGUAUUUAAAAUACUGAGUAAGUUAUUAAAUCAAACAACACAAAAAUAUCGUUACUUUUAGUCGUUGUUCAAUAACUUUCAUGAAGAAUUCCGAUUUAUAAUGUAUUGCUUGACUAUUUGACUUUAUUCAUUUUUCAUUAACUAGACAAGGAGCAAUAUAUUAGAAGAGUAUUUUUUCAAUGUUAAUGUUUCUUCUGAAAAUUUAAGUAUUUAAUAUCCCAAAAUUUACUGAAAUUCAAUCGGACUGAAUAUAAAAAGAUUAAAAUUUGUAUUUGACAGCCUUGAAGCAUUGUUAAUAAGUAUAAUAUUAAAAUUGGAACAAUACUCGUCUGAAGCUCAAUGUCUCACAUAAGUAACCGAACGCAAACAAUAUUUUUUGUAAAUCUUAUAAUUUCAAUUUAUUUUUAUUUUAUAACUUUCAAUCAAUCUAAACAGCGCAUUUGAUUCAAAAAUCUAUUUACUGGAGUAAUGGCAUUUCAUUUUAUUUAAUUUUAUUAACUCAUUGGUUUUGUAACAUAAUUAUCUUAGCAUCGGAGCUUAUUAAUUAACUUAUCUACAAGAUCAAUGGAACGUUGGAAAAAAUGCAGUUAAUCGUGAAUUGACACCAUCCAUCGAACACACACGCAGAUCAGUUCUUGAAAAUACUCCAAGAACUUCACUAUCAUCUGGAUCAAGGAUAAGCUUAUCAUCUCUACAACAACCACGCAAAUCAGUUCAUGAAAGUACUCUAAAAACUCCACUAUCACCUGGUUCAAGGAUGAGCUUCUCAUGUUUACAACAUAUUCGCAGAUCAGUUCAUGAAAAUACUCCAAGAACUCCACUAUCAUCUCGAUCAAGGAUAAGCUUUAUCAUCUCUACAACAACCACGCAAAUCAGUUCAUGAAAGUACUCUAAAAACUCCACUAUCACCUGGUUCAAGGAUGAGCUUCUCAUGUUUACAACAUAUUCGCAGAUCAGUUCAUGAAAAUACUCCAAGAACUCCACUAUCAUCUCGAUCAAGGAUAAGCUUUAUCAUCUCUACAACAACCACGCAAAUCAGUUCAUGAAAGUACUCUAAAAACUCCACUAUCAUCUGGUUCAAGGAUGAGCUUCUCAUGUUUACAACAUAUUCGCAGAUCAGUUCAUGAAAAUACUCCAAGAACUCCACUAUCAACUCGAUCAAGGAUAAGCUUAUCAUCUCUACAGCAUACUCGCAGAUCAGUUCAUGAAAGUCGACCACAUGCUUCAAGAUCACAACAAUCUUCACCACAACAUUUUAAUACAGUGGACUCUCGAUAACUCAAACCUUGUUAAGUCGAAAUCCUCAGUAACUCAAUUGGUAGGAAAUAUAGCUAAGAGCGAUUAACAAUAUUGCUAGCAACAAAUAUGACAGGAUCAGAAAAAUUGAAACCGCUUGUUAUUGGGAAAUCUAGAAAACCACGUUGUUUUUCUGGCUGUAAAUCUUUGCCAUUGGACUAUGAAGCUAACACGAAAGCCUGGAUGACAUCUGAAACAUUCAAGGAAUGGCUACUGAAAAUUGACAAAAAAAUAGUUAAGGAGAAAGGUAAUAUAUUGCUUUUUAUUGAUAACUGUACAGCUCACAACAUAAUUCCACCAUUAAAAGCCAUAAAAGUUAAAUUUCUGCAACCGAAUACGACAUCUAAACUACAGCCCUUAGAUCAAGGAAUAAUUAAAAAUUUCAAAUCUUAUUAUGGAAAAGAAGUUGUAAGAAAACUUAUAGGUGACAUGGAACAACAGUUAGCUUUACCUAUUACUGUAUUGCAGGCAUUGAGAAUGGCAGAUAAAGCGUGGAAGAGUGUAUCUACAAGAACAAUAUCGAAUUGCUUUAACAGUUGCGGAUUUUCGAUGCCACUUAAUUCGUCUACUCCUGAAAUUCUUGAAGAUGUUAAUUUAGAUGAAUUACAAGCAGAUUGGAAUCAACUUCAAAACAUAGGAGUUCAGUUCGAAGAUUACGUGACUUGUGAUGACGAUCUAGCGACCACUGGAACACUGACUAAUGCUGAAAUAAUUGAUAUUGUAAAUCAAAAUGAUACUGUUAAUCUGGAUGACCUUGAUGACGCUGAUUUAUCUGAUUCUGAACCAGCAAUCACAACUAAACAAGCUAGAGAAGCAGUUGACACACUACGAUCCUAUGUUGAAAGAUGUAUUGACAUUGAGUUCAUGUAUUCGAUUCACUAUUUAAGCUUGAGAAAUUAAUUGAUAAAAAAUCUGAGAAUUCUUUACUUCAGAAGAAAAUAACAGACUUUAUGUAAUAUUUUUUACCUUAUUAAUUGAUAAUUUUUUAAAAUAAAUAUGCUUUAUAUAACAGAAAUCAAUUGUUUUCUUAAUUUUUGGUCUAAUCUACUUGCAAAUUUUGAAGAUCUUGUUAAGUCGAAAACUCGUUAACUCGAAGUUUUUAUCGCUUCCCUUGAAGUUCGAGUUAUCGAGAGUCCACUGUAAUGCUCGAAGCUCGUCAUCUGAAUCUGGAGAUUCCUUCAGUUUAAUUCAUUCUUCUCGGUCCUCAAGUCCCAGUAGUUUAAGUGAUUUCGAUGACAUCGUCAAUAAGUCGCAAUUACAACAAGGCUUGAAAUUAUCCCGAAAAAAAUUGUCUCGGACGUAAAAAAAGUUCUCAAAAAUAAUCUUGGGCGACCAUCAACUGACAAUAACGGGAAAGUUAAAAAUUGAAGGGAUUCCUUUAGAUGCCAAAAACUUUUUAAGAGCUUUGUCGGCAAAGAAAAUGAGUCUCCGUGCAAGAAGAUUAAUGCGAGCCUAUUGGACAGAAAAUGAACGCGAUAGACUGAUUACUCGAAAAAAUAAAAAAUUUCCUAAUGUUUUAAUUGUCAGCUCUCGAUAUUAUAAUGAUUUCAUCAACCUUUGUUAUGCUUUACAAAGAACUAGAUUUUUAAAGCAUACGAAGAAACAAGAUCCUGAACAUAAUAUCUAUAAGUGGGUCACAGAUUUUCUUAAAAACGAUCGAUUUGCUCGAAAAAAGCUGAACGAGAAGUCUGAAACAUUUCCCAAUAGGCAGCGAAGAGCGAAAUCUAUUUAAAAAUAACUGGAAAUUAUUGUUAUAUUUUUUGUUAAUAAAAUCAAAAACCUUUUUAUUUUUAUGGUCCUAAAAAAUUUAAUAAAAUAACGAAUUUAUAAUUUAAUAAAAAUUUCA